rnacentral:rRNA from 1 species
AUUGAACGCUGGCGGCAUGCUUUACACAUGCAAGUCGGACGGCAGCACAGAGAAGCUUGCUUCUUGGGUGGCGAGUGGCGAACGGGUGAGUAACAUAUCGGAACGUACCGGGCAGUGGGGGAUAACUAAUCGAAAGAUUAGCUAAUACCGCAUAUUUUCUGAGGAAGAAAGCAGGGGACCAUUUGGCCUUGCGCUGUUUGAGCGGCCGACAUCUGAUUAGCUAGUUGGUGGGGUAAAGGCCUACCAAGGCGACGAUCAGUAGCGGGUCUGAGAGGAUGAUCCGCCACACUGGGACUGAGACACGGCCCAGACUCCUACGGGAGGCAGCAGUGGGGAAUUUUGGACAAUGGGCGCAAGCCUGAUCCAGCCAUGCCGCGUGUCUGAAGAAGGCCUUCGGGUUGUAAAG